rnacentral:rRNA from 1 species
UGGGGAAUCUUGCGCAAUGGGCGAAAGCCUGACGCAGCGACGCCGCGUGGGGGAGGAAGGCCUUCGGGUUGUAAACCCCUGUUGCCCGGGACGAAUCCUGAGUUUCGACUCAGUUGACGGUACCGGGUGAGGAAGCACCGGCUAACUCUGUGCCAGCAGCCGCGGUAAUACAGAGGGUGCGAGCGUUGUCCGGAAUCACUGGGCGUAAAGGGCGCGUAGGCGGCCUGGGUCAGUCCAUGGUGAAAGCGCGGGGCUCAACCCUGCGUCGGCCGUGGAUACUGCGAGGCUCGAGCGUUGUAGAGGCAGGCGGAAUUCCGGGUGUAGCGGUGGAAUGCGUAGAGAUCCGGAAGAACACCGGUGGCGAAGGCGGCCUGCUGGGCAACGGCUGACGCUGAGGCGCGACAGCGUGGGGAGCAAAACAGGAUUAGAUACCCUGGUAGUCCACGCCGUAAACGAUGGGCACUAGGUGACCGGGGGAGCGACCCUCCGGGCGCCGGCGCUAACGCAUUAA